GACGAACGCUGGCGGCGUGCUUAACACAUGCAAGUCGAACGGAAAGGCCCUGCUUUUGUGGGGUUCUCGAGUGGCGAACGGGUGAGUAACACGUGAGUAACCUGCCCUUGACUUUGGGAUAACUUCAGGAAACUGGGGCUAAUACCGGAUCGGAGCUCCUGCUGCGUGGUGGGGGUUGGAAAGUUUCGGCGGUUGGGGAUGGACUAGCGGCUUAUCAGCUUGUUGGUGGGGUGGUGGCUCACCAAGGCUUGGACGGGUAGCCGGCCUGAGAGGGUGGUCGGACACACUGGAACUGAGACACGGUCCAGACGCCUACGGGAGGCAGCAGUGGGGAAUAUUGGACAAUGGGCGGAAGCCUGAUCCAGCCAUACCGCGUGGGUGAAGAAGGCCUUCGGGUUGUAAAGCCCUUUUGUUGGGAAAGAAAAGCAGCAGGUUAAUACCCCGCUGUUCUGACGGUACCCAAAGAAUAAGCACCGGCUAACUUCGUG
rnacentral:rRNA from 1 species